rnacentral:tRNA from 1 species
GCCUAGUUAGCUUAGUUGGUAGUGCAUCUGCCUUGUAAGCACUAGGUUGUGGGUUCGAUUUCCACCCGGGCA